rnacentral:tRNA from 1 species
GGAGGAUGUCCCGAGCGGCCAAAGGGGGCAGACUGUAAAUCUGUUGUCAUCGACUUCGGUGGUUCGAAUCCACCAUCCUCCACCA